rnacentral:rRNA from 1 species
GACGAACGCUGGCGGCGUGCUUAACACAUGCAAGUCGAACGAGUGGCGAACGGGAGAGUUACACGUGGGUGAUCUGCCUUGCACUCUGGGAUAAGCUUGGGAAACUGGGUCUAAUAACGGAUAGUGCAAGAUGAGCGAGCGGCCUAUCAGCUUGUUGGUGGGGGAAUGGCUACAAAGGAGCGACGGGGAGCCGGUCUGAGAGGAUGCCCAGCCCCACUGGGACUGAGACACGGUCCAGACUCCUACGGGAGGCAGCAGUGGGGAAUAUUGCACAAUGGGCGCAAGCCUGAUGCAGCCAUGCCGCGUGUAUGAAGAAGGCCUUCGGGUUGUAAAGUACUUUCAGCGAGGAGGCGUUACUCGCAGAAGAAGCACCGGCUAACUCCGUGCCAGCAGCCGCGGUAAUAC